GUUCUUUAAGAGACAUUCGAUAAAAUUGGAACGAUACAGAAAAGAUUAGCAUGGCCCUUGAGCAAAGAUGACAUGCAUAAAUCGAAAAAUGGUCCAAAUUUUU